GUCCAGUGCCAGACAGCUUCCCAUACAGCAAAUUUCCCAUCAAGCACUGAAAGCAUGUUUUUUCUACAUCUGGAAACUGUCCUGCUCCUCACUGGUGUUUGAGUGUUGUUCUGAUAUCCUGCUGAAAAGCCUCCAACCAAAAUCAGCCAACACAAAUUAAUAAAUUACCACCAGUCAGCAGGGGCAGAGUAACUGGACGGUGUGUGUUCUUGUCCUGAUGCACCCUACACCUCAACUGAUUAGCUGUAACUCCAUAAUUAAUGUCGAGUGUCCACCUGUGUCUGCUCUCCUCACUGGUACUGCAUUCCCCAUCUCAGAGCCAAAGAAACUCAAGAGGUCCUCCAACGAGCAAACACAUUACAUAAGCAUGAGGUGAGACUGGAGACUCUGAGAGGUAGGGAUGUUGAAAGAGCACUGAUUUAUGAGAACUGGAGCAAAGUGGUAACUGAAGCAAUAGCUCCUUUUCCAUGAUGCUGCCCUGUGUUUUGUAACCUACCUCAUGGCCACUGGAUGAUUAGGACCUUUCCUGAACGCACGAUUUCCCUUACCCUCAGUGUUUAUGAUGGCUGGUUUCAAUUAUUCCUUUCCUUCACACUCUGUAUUUCAACCUGCCUCAGAUGAGCAAUUCAUCUACUCUAUCAAAUAACUUACCAAGAUAGAUUUCACAUGCAAGGCAAAUACAUUUUCCUUCCCCUCAUAAUUCCACAACACUGUUUUUUAGAAUUCUGUUUCUCUUGCCUGAUUCCCAGCAAACCCUUACCCAGAGUAGAGCUUUCUAAUGUGCAGAUUGGGUAUAAAAUGCCAUCAGAUAACAGUGACAUUUCCACCUACUCUGUCCUGACCCUUGUGCCACAACUUUUCCCCCAUGUUACCUGAGCUUAUAUAAAGAGUGGGGUCAGAAAACGUUGCACAGGGCUGAAACAAGACCCCACCAUGGAUUGUCAUGUCCAUGUACAUGACUGAAGUAACUGGUGCCUAUGCAGAUUUGUAUGUAGUGGUGUUCUACGUAUGCGUGUGCACAGCAUGCAUGGCCAUGACCAAUGGUGCCAUGAUGCAUGUGAAAAAGCCCAUUUUUUACACAUGUAUUCAUGCUUUGUGAACUUCUGAUAUCAAUUCAUUUAAGAAUGGAGAGAAAAUUAAGAGAUUUGGUGCAUGUAGUUGCUCAUUCUUAAUACUCUUCUGAUCUUAGCAUAGAUGGGACCUGCACAGAUGAGUGAUGAGCGCUUGGAGGGUGAUUCCGUGGUAGAAGCAUCGUGUGGGUCCCAAGUUGGGUAUGGACACUGCUAUGGCACCCAAGUGAACGGAGCCCUGUGUCAGCAAAAAGCGUGAUGAAUAUCCAGGUGAGCUCAACAAGCACUCAGCAGAAUUCAUCUGCAGCUCAUUGAGGCAACACAGAGAGAGUUCAUGGGGAGUUUAUCAUGGGAACUGCUGAGGGUUAAUGGCCAGCAGAACAGAUUGAGCUGUGGGAUUACUAAAUAAUGAACUUUUCUCUCCAAUAAAUUUGUCCCUGACUUAUAAAAAAUCAAUAACAUACUACAUUUCGGGCUUUUUUUUUCCUUUUCCUUUUGGUGACGGUGGGGAAUGUGGGCUCAGAGUAAUUUUUAAACUACUCUUUCAUAUAUAUGUAUAAAUAUAUUUUACUCUGAUCAUUUAUACAAAAGCUCAGAUGUGCCACAUUUACUGCAGCUUCAUCACCUAGAUAGAUUUUUAUGUGGGUGCCCGGCUAUUGCUUUGUUUAAUCAUUCUUUUCUCUUCCCUCCCCAGUCCCUUGCCUCCCCCUUCCCUUCCAUGCUUUUUAUGACACUAUCGUCAGCGCAGAUAUACAGGAGGGUUUUCAUGUGAUAUAGGAUGUCGGAGAGGUCAGGUCAGCUGGGACAGAGCCAAAAAUAUUAGCACUUUCUAACUGCUGAGGAGAGAAAUUGAAAUAAUAGCACUUAUAAAUUGGCAGGUUUUCAACUGCAGGAGAAGAGAGGGAUUUUUUGCGUGUGUUUAUUUUGUUUCAGAAGUGGAGAGGAGGCGGAUCCGGUUCUUGGCCACAGAAGAGAUGUUCACUGUGCUUUGGGCUCGUGUUUGUGUUAAAUUUGGCCAGGAAGUGGUUGGUGGGCUGGUAUCUGUUCUCAGACACGCAUUUCCUGUUUUUAACCCAAUCUUUCUUCCCUCCAUCUCUGUAUGGAAAUAGAAUUAUAGAAUCAUUAAUGUUCGAAGAGACCAUUAGGAUCAUCAAGCCCAACCACAGGUCCCUCAGAUGACUGCAUAUAGCAAGUCUCCCCAAAAUACAGGAGGGACACCCAAUCCAGCUUUUCAGGGAUCUCCUGGGCUCUCUGCUUCAACAGUGAAUCACCAAGCCUUGGUGAAACCAUGGCUCUUUCAGUCACACCGUCACUGUUAGACAGCAUCAGCAAUGGAAAUCACCUCCUCUCACCAAAGCCCAAAGUGCUUUGCAGGAUCUGCCUUCCAAAACCUGCUCUCAUCUGGUCUCCGAUGCUUCACCUCAACCCAGGCACAGCUGUUACGUGUGCCAACCUGGGGAAAUCAGAAGCCAUGCAGCAAUAACUGUUAAUUGACCGAGAGCCACCUCUGCGAUGCCAACAGGAACAAAAGAACAAGCAUCUGGCUUUGCCAUCUGUGCCUGUUUAAAUGCAGCAAAAAGAAACCCUUCUCCAGAUCUCCCAGCUGGGUGGAGAGGUAACUGGAUUCAGCAGCAACGUGGAGUUGCAGGUUGGCUGGGUCUGUGGCUCCUAGUCACUCUGACAUGUGAAACCCUUUGCACGAGACAUGUUGACCUUCCCAGCCCUGGCUUUGUAGAUGAGAGCAAUGAUGGGCUCUGAUGGACGCAACUGAGCAGCCUGGAGUUAUUUCUAGUCAUGGUUGCAGUUCACUGUGAAUAAAAGUCCGGGUGUUCAGAAAUCACUCAGUGCUCAAAGUACUUGCAAGAGCUUUGAUGCACCCUUUACCUCUUUCCAUCUCACUAGGCAUGGCUAGGAGAGCUCUUCAAUGGAUCACAUGUCCUGGAAAAGGACACCUGUCUUGUGCCCCACACAUCCCAGAGGUCAUAAGGAAGGGAUCACUGGUGUUCAGACAACCUCCUCCACCAAAGUCUGCAAAACAAAUUAAAAGCAUAUCAAAUCUUCUGUUUUCCAAGGAGCUUCACAUGAUAAAAGCUGAGUCAGAGGUCUCUGGUGUGCUGGGAUCCUGAAACUUCUAGGAAGGUCAGUGUCAAAAUGCAGUACCUUCCCUUCUAGUCAGAGCACUGUUAAGCUAAAUUAUGGAAUCAUAGAAUCAUGGAAUCAGAAAAUCCUGACUUGUAAGGGACCCAUAAGGAUCAUCGAAUCCAACUCCUGGCUCCAAACUGACCUUUCCAAUGAGAAAAGGAUAGGAUUCAGCAGCUCACUUUUGAAAGACAGUUUAGUCCAAGCUACCUGAUAUUUGCAGUAGAGGAGCCAGUCCUACUGAGAAAACCAAACAAGACCAGAGCUAUGGUCUGACACCAAGUAUAAGGUUUCUCCCUAGCAAGGCUUCAUCCAGCCAGCACUUGAGGUAGCACACAGCCUCAGCAAGAAUGAGACCAAAUAAGAGGGUACCACAGGGGCCGUUCCUAAAAGGCAAAAUGGAGAGAGCCAUCCUGAAGGAGGGAGUGAAGAGAAGAGUCUGGCCAGGUGGUCCCAGACCGUGCCAUGCCAUGCCAUUUUUCCCUAUGACCAGAGGAUGAGUUCUGUUUUAUGUGCUAAUAUAAGCCCAGAGAAGUGGAGCGGAUUACUUACUGAAGAUGAUGAUCCAUCCUCAUUGACUCCCAAGGGCAUCCAAACACCAGGUGAGACUGGAUGUCGGACACCCAUCUGGUGAAGUCUACCUGAUGUGCUUUUAGGCACUGUGAGUUGUUCUCCCCACUCUCUGGACUACCUAUUUAUUUUAGGACAAGACGUGAUGGCCUCAAGUGGUGCCAGGGAAUGUUCAGGUUGGAUAUUAGGAAAAAUUUCUUCUCUGAAAGAGAGAAGAGUGGUAAUGCAAUGGCACAGACUGCCCAGGGAAGUGGUGGACUCUGUUCCUAGAGGUGUUCAAGAACUGUGGAGAUGUGGCACUGAAGGAAAUGAUCAGUGGGGAUGGGUUGGGGUUGGACUUGGUGAUCUUAGAGGUCUUUUCCAACCUUAAUGAUUCUAUGAUUCCACUGCAUGUUUGGUAAUUGCAUCUGCACAAACCUUUUCCAUUGCAGCUGCUGCCUGACUGAGACUUGAGACAAGGCUGUAGAAUGGCUCUUUCUGUUAUCUAGGGGAAAUGUUUGGCCCUUGUGAGAUCUGCAAACUGUUGGACCAUGUGGUACUCAGUCCUGGUCUCAUGCUGCCUGUUUUUGUGCAGUGGCUAUUCACCAACAGUGAGCUGUGUUUGAUGACUGAGAUGAAAAUGCCAGGAACAGCCGACUAUAGAUACAGAAUUAGACAUCCUGUGAGGGAUUAAACAAAGUACGGUUUGCUGGGGAGAAUCCAAAGCCACGAUAGAUUUAUCUAAUGCAUUUCUUGCUCUCUGUAUGGUUCUGGAAGUUCAGAAAUCUUUGGGUUCAAUUAACUCUGCCACAAGCAAGCAGGGAUAAUUUGUAGGGGAUGUAAAGUCUCAAGAAGUUGAAAAGGAAGCACUUAUUUUUUUUACUGUGUGCCGUAUUUGCAAGAGAGUUCCCCAUAAGCAAAGUCUUUGGUAGCCUGAUUCAUAUGGAGAAGUCUGGAGGUAUCAACCCUGAGAAAGGACAGAAACAAAAAAUAAUUAUGAGGUUGACUAAUGGUCAGUGAGUAUCAGAGCUUGUCUGUUAUGUCUAUACUGUGUUGGACAUAGGCGAGUAGGCAAGACACACACGUAGUGCAUGCUCUGUCCUGAAGGCUUAGCCAUUAUUAUUUCUCAUUUAUUUGAUUUUCUAUUUACUGUAAAGGUCACUCUACCUGUAUGUAUUGGGUGAUAUUUUGGGGUUUCUUUUGCAUGGGGGGAAAACGUAACUGAGGUCACAUUGGAUAUAAUAUUUCUUAGUGUGUACUCUAUAUUCAUACGCCCAAUGCAUGGUAAAGUAAGGCAGCAUUCUUUAAGAGAUGGAAGAAAAGCUGAUAACAGUUUGUGUUCUCUAUAUAAUUCAGGCACAACUAUCUGUCAACAGAGCAAGGUAAUUAUCCCAAUAAGAUUUCACGAAACAAGGAAAUAUCAUGGAUUUUAUAAACCUUAUUAUCAUUAAGAGUGAAUGCAAAACAACAAAAGGAGCCUUAAAACAAAAUGUUAUGUUGAAAUCAAUACUGAUUCCUUGGGAUAAGUGUUAUGAGGCAGUAAAAUUCUCUAAGAUUUCUCCCCCCCCCCCCCCCCAAAAAAAAGAGGCUGCAGACAAAUCAAGGGAGAGCAAACAGCUCUAAAGCAGCCUAAUCACUCUGCAAAUUGGGGAACGAGCAAUGCAGUGCUGAUUUUUUUCCAACAUCAGUGCGUUGCUCUAAAAAUGUCCCUCCUCCUUUUGCUCUUGUGCCCCCCCCACCCAACAAGCCCAAAUAAUAACCCAUUACUGACGGCACCAUAACGGCGCCUUCAGGGAUGGGAUUAGAGUAAGUAUCAAUUUGGAAAUUAGCAGCCUGGUUCAACGAGCAGCGUACCAGCCCUGCAGGCAAAAGGAGAAAUCUGAAAUUUGCACACGUGCUGCCUCACGAAACGCUGCUUUCAUUACCCCCUUCCCUCUCCCUCCACGCCAUCAUGCAGAUCAGCUGCUCCGUACAGCCUUAUCCGGCACUGCGGCUCAAAGGCAGAGAUGUUUCCCAGGGCAUGCUUGUGUGGGCCUCCAGCUGUCAGCUUUCCUCCAUCCAUCCCAAAAUGAUGCGUCCAUGGGCCACUGAGCAAAUGGGACUCAAUGCUUGUGUUCAGAUUUGUGGCAAGCGUGGGAAUUUUAGGGACACUGCUUAGUCAGCAAUAUUGGUGGUAGGUGGAUGGUUGGAUUGGAUGAUCUUAGAGGGUCUUUUCUAGCCUUAAUGAAUCUAUGAUUCUAUGAAUGGAUUCUGUUUUCCAGAGAGACCUAGACAGAGCAGUGGGUCCAUGAAAACCUCACGCAGUUCAACAAUGCAAGGUCUGCACGUAGGUCAUUGAAACCCCACUACUGAUACAAGCGAGGGGAUGUAAGGAUGGAGCGCAGCCCUGCCAAAAAGGACCUGGGGGUACUGGUGGAUGGCAGAUGGACAUGAGCCACUGCAACAGGUUGCCUAGAGACGUGGUGGGUGCCCAUCUCUGGAGCCAUUCAAGGUCAGGCCGGAUGGGGCUCUGAGCUGUGGGCGUCCCUGUUCAUUGCAGGGGGUUGGACAUGGUGACCUUUAGGGGUCCUUUCAACUCAAACCAUUCUAAUUGAGUGUUUGCAGCUCCCAUCAUCUCAAUGCUAUGUAGAGUAGCCACCCAAAAACAUGUUGCUUCUUCCACCAUAAUAUUGGACAGGACAGUCCUCCCACCACAAGGAGCACCAUGUUUGGGAAUGAAGAUCCUAAAGGACUGUUCUGUCAACCCUUAUAUCUUUGCCUCACCCACCACAGCUCAGGCAAACACCCACAUCUCUGCCCUCUUCACCAAGAUCAGUUUCCGGGCACCAGAACAAUCACUUGAAGCCAAAAUGAACUACCAAGAGUAAACCUAAAAAGUGAGCUCUGAACAAAAAAAUCCCCCCCACAGUUCUGAAAGAAUGACAAGACAUAAAAAAAAAGAGGUGAAAUUUGAGCCCAUUUCAGCAAACAAGCACAGAGCUUAGACUCUGGCGUGUCAGCUCUUUUCACUUUGCUAUAGAUGCUGAAGUAAAGCAUUUCAUCUUUUCUAAAUUUAUGUAUUAACAUUUUGUUUAAUUUCCAUUUAUUAAUAUUUAUUCAUAUAUAUUUAGAAAUAGAUUUUUAUUUGUAUAUAUUUAAGUAAACAAUACUAAUCUAUUUGUUAUUAAUAUUUCAGGUUUUCACCCCAACAUAGAGUACGAAGCAUCAGGCCUUCCACCAGGACAGACAUCCUAUUUGUAAACACUGCUUUAUUGUAUCUUACUCUCCUCCAUAAUGCUUUUCACUCCAGCAUGGAUGAACCUUCAUGGGAGUUUUUCCAGUGUCACCCUUAAUAAUGACAUCAUUCUCUUUUUACCAAGACACUUUGCUAGACUGGAAGACAACAGUUUCGUAUCAGUCCCUCAAGACAAGCCAGUAAUCAUCCAACAGACCAUCUCAUCUUCACUGACCAUUCCUGUGAUGGGAGUUGCUCACGUCAGAGGAGCAUUAAAGGUGAGAGGGAACCAGUGUGCAAAGACUGAACUAUGCAUCAGACGUUGGGUGCUGGUAUAGAAUCAUAGAAUCACUGAGGUUGGAAAGACCUCUAAGAUCAUCAAGUCCAACCAUCAACCCAAACCCAUCACCACCAUGCAACUAAACCACGCUAUACAUUGUGAUAUCUUCCCCUUUCUUGAUAACUUCCAAGGAUGGUGACACCACCAUCUCCCUGGGCAGCCUGUUUCAAUGCUUCACCAAAGUACAAGAGAUCCCAACUCUGCUGGAGUAGCUGCAGCCCUUCAGUGCCUCAGCCUUAUGCUCCUGAUUGGCCAUGGGUGUAAUUACUGAACACAACAAACCAAAGAGCUCACUUCUCUGAUUUUUAUUCUCACUCUGGUCAGGUUUCCUGUGGCAGCCUGUAGCUGGAGGUGGCCUAUGCAGAAUUAGCUACUCUACAGCCAGAGCCAGAGCAGCUCCAACCUCUCACUGUGAAUGCGAGCACACAGCUGAAGAAAGGAUUGCCACAAAGGGUUAGGAAGAAAGGAAAAGGAGAUUAAUGCUCAUCCCCUCGAUCUGAUCCUACUCCCUUUGAAACUUUCAGCAAAGCAGAUUAAGGCUGUAAGCUUCACCAGGCAGGGGGUGUUACUCACCACUGCGUUUUGGAAAGUCAAACAACAACCGAACCCUGAUCCUGACCUCCAUGCCUCGCAGAGAUAAAUUAAUAAUUAAAAAUAAUGCUAAUGAUAACAUUAAUGAUGAGGUUUGUGCUGCUAAAUGGGGAGUUUUCUCCAGCAGCAGUAUUUUCCUCUGUGACUGGCAGCUCAUUUGCUGCUAUUGAUGCUCUGAAGCAUGAUGAGGAGUAGCUGGGUGAGUAUUUCUCUAACCAAGCACUUUGGGUCAAAUGCAGAGUGAUCUCAUGCAGUAUCUCACAUGGCUGGCCUGAAAUGUCAAGCCCUGCACUUGGAGCGAGGGGCGAGCAGGUCAGGUCAUGUCUGGUUGUAAAAGGAUUGUUUGUGCCACACUCCAUCCAUGGCCUUGUGUUGGGAGGACCCAAACAAUCCUUCCCUUCAUUCUCCAGCAGAAUGGUAUUUUCGGGAAGACAAGGGGCUGGCAUUAACUUCCUUGCAUCUGAUGAUGUUUUUUUUCCUAAUAUGUUUCUUUUGAAACUCACCCUAUUCCAUAGCUGCAAGUCCAGACCCAUAUCUGCACCGAAGGAACAGAAGAAUCCUUAGGUCUUCCCUUUGCCUGUGUCAGUUUUGCAAUUCAGCUCCAUCAGGACAGCCACAUGAGUUUUACUCUGUAAGGAAACUCCUGCACGGUGCAGAUUGCUGGGGCCAUUCAGAUCCACAUGUUGCUUCUGUGCCUAACACAGCCAUGACUCACUCAGAGGGUGGUGACGCACUGGAACAGGUUGCCCGAGGAAGUUGUGGAUGCCCCAUCCCUGAAGGCAUUCGAGGCCAGGCUGGAUGUGGCUCUGGGCAGCCUGGUCUGGUGGUUGGUGACCCUGCACAUAGCAGGGGGUUGAAACUAGAUGAUUAUUGUGGUCCUUUUCAACCUUCAACUUUUGCAACCUCUAUGCAAGGGAGAGAGGUGGUAAUAGCAUGUAUGAUCACCUCCAAUAGAUGCCAGCAGUUAUUUCUAUCCAUAGAGAAACAAGGAGCCAGAAUUUGCAAAAUAGGUGCUUUGUACUGAUUGUCCCUCUCUUGACCUUCCAUAGCGUGGUACUCACAGCAACGUCUCCAUUAGCAAUAUUCACCCUCAGCUCCCAUUAUAGUCAAUGGCACUUGCAUGACAUGAUCAAUCUCACCAAAAUUAGCCAAACCAAACCACCCCUUGGGAGUGCUGAUUUCUUACUGAUGUCUGCCAGGUGAGCCAGAAUCGACCAGCUCAGGUGGAAGCCAUUGCAGCUUGCAUGUCUCAGGCUGUGGGGAUGAUCCCUACUCCCUACAAGGGUAGACUUCAAAUCCCUGGAAAUAAUAUAAGUACAUGAAACCAAUGGGGGCUGGAACUCACUAUAACAACUUCUCUGAUCUGGAGAGGAAACCAUUGAUUUCCCAGUUUCCUGGUAUGGAGACAUCUCUUCUUCAGUGUUGUCCUGUCAGAGGUCAUCUAAGAUUGGGGAUUUAUAGGGAAAAUUGCAACAUGGUUGACCUUGACUCUACAAUGGAGGAAACAAUAUCGAAUCUCUGUCCUUCUCCUCAUUUUUUAGCCCUAUUCUGAUGUUUUUCUUGAGACAGCAUGCUGUUGAGGGACCUCAUCAUUUUUAAUUUUUCUUUUCCCCUUCAUCAAGCCAACCAUUCUAUUAUAAAAUGGUGGUUCCAUUUCUUAAUCUUCCUAUUUUCUUCUCAGUGUGUGUUUGCUAAUCAAUUUCACAAGCUGCUGCGUGAAGAGUGGGAAGAAGGGCUGCUCUCCUCCUUCUUUUGGACCUUUUCCCAGAAACUAGACCAAGCCAGUUUUCUCUCUGGUAGCCUGUAGCUCAUGUUAGAUCCCCAUGUACAUGGACAGAAGGGGCUACUGAGGUUGGGGCCUUGUAGCUGAGAAGCCACCACCUCUAGUCUCUCCUUUCGUCAUCAUAUAGGAACAGGUUGCCCAGGGAAGCGAUGGAGUUACCUUCCCUGGAGGUUUUCAAGAUGAGAGUAGAUGUUGCAUUGAGUGUCGUGGUUAGUGGGCAUGGUGGGGAUGGGCUGAUGAUUGGCUUAGGCGAUCUUAGUGGUCUUUCCAACCAUAAUGAUUCUAUAAUCCUUAGGAUGGAUGAGGAGACUUCAUCCAGCAAUUUCCAGCGCACCAUGAUGAAUGGCUGGAGGGUAGCAGGUGACGUCUCAGAGAACAUCUCAAAGGAAAGGACAAAGAUUGAAGCAACUGAACUGCUGUAAGGGCAUAGCUUUUGUCUCCAACUCCACAUGAGUUACAAGAAGCUCAUAAAUAGAUGAGCAACUUGUAUGCAUUGAGCAACUCAUGUGUAUGUCACUGAAGCUGGAAAUGUUCAAGGAACAUUUAGACGUUGUGUUGAGGGAUGUGGUUUAGUGAGAACUCUUGGUGAUGGGUGGAUGGUUGGACUGGAUGGUCUUGUAGGUCUUUUCCCACCUUGGCAAUUCUAUGAUUCUAUGAUUGCUACAGCUCAGCGCAGUCUGGAAGUGCUGGAACUCCUUUUCAGCUGCUGGAGCUGAGAUCUCUAAAGGUGCUCAGGUGCCUAAAGAUGCUGACAUGCUUACUAGGCUUUGCAGAAGUGCUCAUUUUUUAAAGUCCUUAUAGUUAUCUCUCUUCAGACUCCAAAGUGGCUCCAGAAAGCUGCUCUGGAAAGUCUACAGAUACAUGAACAAUGUUUUAAUCCUCUGACCAGAGAAAAAUCUCUGUCCUUCCAGCCACCUGGUGCACAGCAGUUCAUAUGCACACCGCUGAGGCACACCACCCUGGAAUGAUUCCUUUCCUCUAAGCCCGUCUAGCCAGCAUGUCAUUAUUAUUUUUGAGUGAUCAUGUGUUUUGAGAUCAAAGGACUUAAAAUAAAGCAAUAGCUGUGUUGCAGCCAGCCUCACUGCGUGGUUCUGAAAGUGUAUACGUGUUGUCUGCCUUGUUGGGAAAGCACAGGAAUAAAGAGAGUUCAGAGGAUACAAAUCAGGUUGCUCAGAGAAGCUGUGGAUGCCCCAUCCCUGGAGGUGCCCAAGGCCAUGUUGAGCGUGGUCCUGGGCAACCUGAUCUGGUGGGCAGCAACCAGCCACAGGAGGGAGGUUGAAACCCUAUGAUCUUUAAGAUCCUUUCAUGGGCUAAAACAUGCCCAGAACACUAAUCCAGAGUUUCCUCACUCCUAAAAGGAGUUGAGGAUGGACCAUAUAUUCUACAAUCAAGGGACCAAACAGCAGACAAUUCACUCACUGGGCAGUACAGAAGUAACAUACAACUCAGAUCCUCAGAAAGACCCACAGGGAGCUUAACACAUCAGAGCAGCUUCUCCCUCAGCACUGCAGGUAGGAUUUCCUGAAAGACUCACCCACUUUCUGCACCUGCUCCCCUUGGCAUCAAUAAGAGGAGGAGGGGAAAGAAGGGAACUGCUAUUGAUUGUGAAAAUGCAAUUCAGCGGAUGCUUCAAUAAAUCAGAAUCUUAGAAUCAGAGAAUAUUCUGAGUUGGAAGAGACCCACAAUGACCAUCAAGUCCAACCCCUGGCUCCACACAGCAGCACCUAAACCCUAUGUCUGAGAGUGAUGUCCCUGUGCCCAUUGCCUUGGGCAGCCUGCUCCUCUGCUGGGGGCCUAUCCCUCCAAUUAAUCCUCCUUCCUCCAUUCUCUGCUGCAAGGAAGUGUCCAGCCAAACCUUCGUGAUUCACGCUAUAAAGAGAUCAAAUCAUGUCAGUACUUCUAUGUUUUGCUGCUGAAAAGGAAGAUUAUCUUUCCUGCCUCUGACAAAAGACCACUAAAAGCAAUUUGCAGACAAUACCCUAGUUAAGAACAAUAAGCCAAGCGUAUGUCAUUAGUAACCAGACAAGUUCAAAGGCAUUUGUACUCCUGCCUGGUACUCCAGUCACUCUGCUCUGUACUGUGAAAAGCACUACAUGUACUUCCUGAGAGCUCUUCUCCAUCAAACUACCAAUAGAAUGAACCUUUUGUGCAUUUUUGUAUAACAAGAAAUGGGCUUGCAAUUUUUCUUCACAGGUUUAAGUAUUGGGGAGUUUUCUUCCCUGGGAUAAAGUGGUGACAUGCUUGGCAACCCAAUACUCACCAAACAAUGGGGAUAAAUAAAAUAUAUUCAAGAAAGGGGUAUUUAUUAUUAUUAUUACUAUUAUUAUUACUAUUAUAGCUAUCCAACCAAUCUAAGGAAAAAUAUUUCACAGUAAGGGUGGUGAGGCACUGGUACAGGUUGCCCAGAGAGGUGGUGGGUGCCCCAUUCUUGGAGACAUCCAAGGUCAGGCUGGAGGGGCUCUGAGCACUGAUGGAGCUGUGGGUGUCCCUGUUCAUUGCAGGCAGUGGGGCCAGAUGGUCUUUAAGGGUCCCUUCCAACUCAAACCAAUCUGUGAUAUGCCAUGAAUCCAACCACUGAGUGAAAACAGUACUUUGUGAGAGAAGUGCCAAACAAUGCCAAACAGAUACUGGAGGACAGUAGCCCUCCUGCUUGCAGCAGUGCUCUGAUGGCUCAGCAGAUGCCAAGCAGCUGGUGCUGCCUACUGGCCUGUGCAAGGGUUCAUGCAUAUCAGUUGUCCCCAUUCAUAUAUGUUUAUGACAGAUGCCCAUCCACUGGACCCUACCAGUCCAAGACAGUGACACUCAAUAACUGCAUCUCUGUCUCUAGGUUUCCAAACAGACAAAAAGCUUUACACAGGCAAGUGGAACGAAACCUUAGCCUUCUCAGAAGCACACUUAGGGACUGUGAAGAAAAUUUUGGCGAUGAGUUUUUCACCCCUGGGACAACAUCCUAUGCAUCAUAGCAAGAAUACAUCGGGGAAAGUGCACACCUGGAAGAGCUCACAGUCUGAAGGGAUUGGAUAGAAACCUCACAUCUGAUGUUGUGCCUGGUUUUUAAAGCAGUUUUGAACACUGGGUAUCAAAAUAUGUUCCCUGCUCUGAAGUUUAAGCAACCUGCUCCUCACGCUUCAAUAGCAAGCUGCACUCAAGAGGACAUUUGCUGCCCACUCCUAUGGAUGACAAAACACAAUUUAUGGGAUGUGUUGUACAGAAAGGAGGCAGCCUUUGCCUCAAGGUGUAGGUAGCAGAUUGACCAAAGCUAGAGGUCAAUAGGCCAAUAUUUGACCAGGCAUGGCUCCUCCUUGCAUCCCGUUUGGGAGCCUUUCUGCAAGCAGAGAGCAGAGAUUGAGAAAUCAGCAAGAUUGGUCACCCUUCCCUUCAUUGCUUAAAUUAUUUACUUUACCGUUUUCUCUUCUCCUGGCAGCUGAUUUGUCAAAGCAAGUGAAGCAGCUAGAAAGAGAGUUGUGGCUGCAGCAGGAAUAUUACAGCAAUUAGAAAGGGCCAUAAACAGUUCUCUACAUAUGAAACUGCUCAUUGAAUUUGACAAGCAGCCUUUUCUUCUUCUCCCCGCCACCAAAUACAAUGCAGCCUCUUUCCCUUUCAUAAAUGCCAGCACUUUUUCUUUCGGUUCCCACCAAGGGUCCCUCACACUCAACACUCAGAUCAAUACAUUUGCGGACUGAAAGGGACCUUUCUCCUCAACACUCAGCCUCUCGCGGACAGAAUUAAGGCUGAUUGAGUAUGUCACAGUCCGACUGCAAUUUAGAGAGGCAUCGUGCAACCGUGCUGUCCUGGCACCGGUCCAGCUGUCAGAUUUAAUAGAAAAGUAGAGCAGCUUCAUCUGCCCCAAACGGCACGCUGCUCUCUGCAGCCACUGAUUUAGGCUUCCUACACGUUACGGUCUGUCACUUGGAAGUGAUGGAUGAGGUACCAGUGGAUGUCUCUUGCUCACUCCCGGUAGCGAUAAGCAAGUAGCAGGUACGUCAGGAGAAGAGCUGAAGGGAUUAUCUUGGGCUUAUUUUGUGUUUGCCAAUACUGAAGGCGGAGAACAUGCUGCCAGAGCAGGAUGUUAUAAAUUAUAUUGUGCUAUAGCAGGUAGGGCUGAAACGUGGUGGCAAUGGGUUGAUGGUUGGACUUGGUGAUCUUAGUGGUCUUUUCCAACCUUAAUGAUUGUGUGAACCUGUUGAGGCUUCUCCAACCUCCAUAAUCAUGGGGGGAGACCUCUACAGAGCUCCCUUCCACUUACAUAGUGUCUAAGGGUUGAACUCUUGCCAUAUGUUAGAAAUUAGGACCAAAGGAGGUCUUGUUGACCUCCUGUCCUGCCAUGAGAUAGAAUUGCCUGUGCUACUUUGCACAACACUGGGUCAUUCAGGUUAAUAUUUCCCCUGGAGAGAAGCAGCAUGAGUCAGAGUACCCACUUGGAAAGGAGAGAUUGGGGUGAUUUGGAGUGGAAUGAUGGAGGGCCUUAUGACAAACUGCUCUGUAAUUACGUUGGCAAAGGUCUUCUGCCAACAAGGAGCAGAGCAGCACCUAGGUGGAUACAGGUGGCAUUGCAUUUCCUGGGUACCUCAAUUUGCUUUGUUUCUGCUCCAGAAGGAUGCUGAUUAACUGUGGGUGGUUCAGGGAAGAGCUGCCUGAACAGCUGAAGGUUUGGGGAUGGAGAUGACAGGAGCAGGGGGAGGCAGAUGCUGCCUGGUGUUACUGAGAAAAGGUUAAGGGGUAAUUUAUCAUUGUCUGUAAGUACCUGCUUGGGAGCAGUAAUUUGAGAUGAGAGCUUUUGAGUCUGUAUCACAAAAGGAUAACUGGAACUGUUGGCUGUGUGUUGGUGUGAGGUGCAUUUUCUGAGACACAGGCACAGCAAAAGGAGUGGGUGGGGGAAAGGCAUCACAGCUGUCAACAGGUGCUCCAGCCCUCCACCUCCAAUGGUUGCAGUCCCCUCUUUCCUUAACUCGGGAAUCCUGCACCUAUUUGCAAAUGACAAGGCUGAUGCAAGCAGAGUAGAAUAGGGUAUUUACCUCCUUCUGCCUAAAAAUCCCAACGUUGCCUUUGCCUUGCAAGAUGGAACAGAACCACUUACAAUCCCAGAUUUUCUACAGCCUGUUAAUCCCAAGAGAUGCAGACAUGUCAGACUUCUUGGCUUCAGGGAUUUCAACCCAAAGGAUAAUUAUGAAAAAACUCCCAAAUUGAUAUGCUUGAUCUUAAGAUUGUUACCACAGCCCCAAUAAUUUUGUUGGAAGUCCCAACCCCACUGAUUAAAUCACAUUCUUAAGCUGCAAUUCUCCACCUAUCUACAGUCAUUCUGUAUUUUGACACAGCAACCCCAGUGAUUUCCUACAACCAUAUCUCCCAUAACAUGCCUGGUUAUUAAUUCUCAGGAUGCAUCACACAGCUUCAGCAGUGAAAAGAUGCCCUCUGCAUUAUGGAAGAUAAAGUUCUUCAGGAAACUCAGCUCAGAAUGCAGCUUGGAGCUGGGAGGUCCCAGUUUGCAGUGUCCACAUGAGAAAAGACUGCCACUUAAUUCUGAAAUCACAAUGUAUUCAAAGUCAUUACUUGCUAUCAAAAAUAUAAGGGAUUACCAGAUGCAAAAUGAGGCAUUUAAUUCUCAUGUCAUCUAAAUCAGAAAUUUUCCCCCAUCACAUUUAAAUGGUGUGAUGAAGCCCUUAUGGGAAACCUGUUUGGCUGAAGAGACCAUGGCCAGUUUCAAGGAUUAACUACUCAGUACAAACCAUGGUGACUUUUCCUCAGCUGGAUGCCAUUAAACAGAGAUCAGUUCCAUUUGCUUUGUUGAAAGAAAGAAAAAAAAAUAGAGAAAAAUAAAAGCUCUUUUUAGCUCCAACUCUGUGUCUAGCUUUGAGGAGCCUUGUCUUCAGAUAGUUGGAUAGACCAUGGCUGUCUAUGACAGGGACAGGACAGGAGCUUGCACCAGGAGGAGGCUGUGCUGCCACAGCAUUCAGCUCUGCAAGCCCAAACGUUGUGGCUGCCAACGUUCAGAUGAACAAUGCAAUUUACAUCCAAACACUGCUCCUGGGCAGCAGAAUGCAACCAGUCAACCAGAGCAAGGGCUGAUUAUGGGAAACAUCUGGGGUGAAAUGGGAAUUCCCCAUUCUCUAGUCAUUCCCUGGACUAUUUUAGGACAGCUUCUUCAUAAAAUGGAAGUGCAGUCUUCUCCAGAGCCCCACCUGUAUAACCAAGGGCAGGUUGGGCCAGAGGAAUGAAAUAAAUGAGCUUUUUAAUGGGCUUUAAUCACAAAUUGUCCUUCAGGGCUUGAUAGAGGUUUCUGCCACAUCAAAGAGAAAUCUCCUGUCCAUUUCAAGGGGAGAAGAAGCAAACUUGUGAACAGCACAUCAGAAUUAAACCUUGUAAAAGAUCACUGCACAAAGUAAAUGCACUGGUAGUGCUCAGGAGAAGGGAGAGAGCAACUGCUUGGCUGGUGAUUUAUCACACCUUUUGGACCCCCAAACUCUUUUGCAUUUUGAUUUCAGAUGGGCUAUAGAAAGACAUGUCUAUAAUGUCUGUGUCCAACUAUCCACUCUUAAUGACCCAGUGGAACACCCAAAACAGGCAGAGCUUUGCCUGUUUCAACAUGAGAGUCCAUCUUCCAAAACAAGAGCUGCAGAGACUAUGUCUGGAUCAGGAGAUAGGGGCUCAUCUUUCCUUCUGCAGUCAUUUGGUGACUACAGCACAUGCCUGAGCGCUAGGAAAUGGUCAGUGAGCAAUGCCUAUCUCUUUUGCCUGUAAUAAUGUAAGCCUGCUUGUCCCUCAUAAGUACUUUGAGGACAUGAUAAUGGGAUAUUCAAACACAGGGAGCUCACUGUUGCUGCCAAUGGGACUUCCCCACUUUAUCAUGGAAGAUGGGAAAGAGUGACUACAGAUUGCACUUUCCUCCUUGCCGUCAUAUCAGGCUUCUGCUCUGCUUCCCCAGCUGGUUAAUACACUGCUUCUUAACUACAUCUCUUCAGAAAUGUCAGUCCAGAUGAUGUCAGAGCUGAAAGAUGACCUCUCAAGCCCUGGCCUGGGAGAGUAUUGGCUCCCUUCCUUAAAUCCACAUUGUACAGGGACUCUACGAGGAAGUCUGAACAGAUCUGUGGCCUUUAGCAGGGCAUGAGAAAGGGAGACUGCUCAGAUGGGAGAAGGACUUAUGGGCAGACAAUGAGGAUUUUUCAUGAUGUGACAUUUUAUUUGCGCUGAUAUGUUGACAUGAGUCCUGUGAGUCAUCAGGAGAGCUGACUUCUGGAUUCUCAGUUCUUAGCUCCUCUUUUGUCUACAGGGCUUGCUUCUUUCCGGGACUUAGCACUAAUGAAAUUAAAAUCUUUUGCUUCUGAAAGAAUUAUGGGUCUGGCUCAUGCCAAAAUAUUAAUUCUGUGGGAGAAAGGGGCAAUGUAAGCAUCUGAUGGGUGUGUGAGAUGGAUGAGAAAAAACAGAGGAAAAUUUUGUCUUAGUGUCAGGCUCUGCAAUUUUUAUUUUUUGGAGUUAGCUUCAUUUAAGACUAACUGAGCAUCAUAGGCAGUCAAUGGCUUAACAGAUAUCUGUGCCAAAGAACACGUUAUCUGCAAGUGAAAUAUCGUAACGGGUCUAUGUGAUGGAAAGCACUAGAAGGACAAGUUAUAAAUACAAGGUCCAUGUGGAGACUGUUUACUUGAGCACAGUGCACUUAAACACCUCAUUUAAACAGCCCCUUAGCCUUAGCUAAGGGGAAUCCAUUUCUGGACAAUAGAUAAUCACAGAAUCAUAGAAAAAGUUGUGUUGGAAGGGACCUUAAAGAUGAUGUAGUUCCAGCCCCCUGCCAUGGAUGAUGGAUCUUGGCCCACUGUCCCCUCAGAGAAGGGACCUGACUGUGUCCCAGGGCCUGUGGCUUUGGAAAAUCAUUUAUGGAUUUGGUAUAUUGCUCAGGAAGCAUCUUGGGAAUGAUCAAGAAGGACACUACAGUAUAAUAGCAGAAUGAACAAGAUCUGUAAAUCUGAGUUGGUGACUGCCUUGGCUUGACUCUGCUCAGCCCACUGCUGUCCUUCAUCCAGUUCUUCUCAAGAGGUCCUCCGUUAUUGCGCAAUUCUGUGAUUCGUCAGAGGCCAAUCUCUGAAAGGUUCAUGACAAGAGAACAUGUAUACAUACAUAUUGUUCGGACAGACACGAUGUAUCUCCCUCAGUUUGCUCUGUCUGUGAUUCCUGGUAGAAUAUCUUGAUUAUAGUACCAUAAAGAUUCACAACUGAUUAUGGACCAUCAACGCAUACGCUCCGUCCACCUACAGAGCCAUGGGCAACUCUGUCAUACAUUGCCAGUCCAGGAGGAUCAACACAACAGUCAUUCCACAAACUGCAAGGCACCUUCAUGUUCCUCACAAUAAGGAUAAAGAGAGAAGAUAAAUACAAAUAAAUAUGAAUUUGCUAGAGGAAGGGAUACUAAGAGAACCAGAGCACUGUCACGGUCAUCGCAGAAAACUCUCCCUUUUUUAGCAAGACCAAGUUUUUAGAUAGAAACAGUGUAUUUUGUUAGGACAAUUAAUCUGGAGAAAAGAGCAAAUUUUUCAGAGGGGAUGGCCCUUCUCCAGGCUCUGACUGGAAGCAGAGGCCGGCCACCAUGCAAAGGAAUUAGAACAAACUCUGCAGGUGUAAUGGGGGUUGGGGAGGAAAGGGAAGAGUUCUUUCUCUACUGCAGCUCUAGGAUUCAGUGUAAAUACCAUCAUUCUUAGCUGAAUACAUCUUCAUUAGCCAGCAAAUCUGUGCUGACUGUCUUUCUGGAGAUUUGAUGUGCAAAGGAUGGCUCCAGGCCCAGCUGGAGGCAGAUUAGCCAUCCAUAGGAGUAUCCAUGUGGAAGGAGGUGCUGAGACAGAGCAAUCAAGCAAUUGUUUCAUAGGAAAGCUUGUGCCAAAGCUGUCAGUGUUGGCAUUGUUUUUAUCCUAACUCAAAAUAGCGUCACAAUCACGAUCCUGGAACCAACAGCCAUACAGGAGUCAUGACUUCAGAUGGCACAAAGGGAGCUGCUGUGAUUUUACCUACAGAUGUUUUAUAACAGGUGUACCUCAACCCAUAUCUCGAAGAACAAAAAGAGAAUCAGCUUAACAACUCUAUUUUAAACACGAGGUCUGUUUGAAACAAACCCUGUGGGGGUAGCAAAUUAUGCAGCGAAGUGCUGCUUACAAACAGAGGAAAAUGACUACAGAUGCAUGAAGAGCAAGAUUAAUGCAGCACCUACGCAUUUUAGAGCUAACACACACUGUGCCGUCUUCUGAAAUGGUCUUCUAAGAAACGACUGUGACCUAAAACUGCAGCUGAGGGUUGGCAGCUCAUGGAAGUUGAGUUUUCCUUGUCCAGGUAUUCCAUGAGAAGGGAUGGUGCCUUCCUCUGGGUGUAUGGAGCACCCAGACCUAGAGAAGCCAUAGAUGCCAUUGCUGAGAUGCGACAGCGAUGAACAACUUUCUCUGACAUUUCCUCACAUAUUUGGAGCAUGUCUUCACGUGGGUAACUUCAAGGGGGGAAAUUUGUAUUUACAGAACAUCGAACUAGGAUGGGAUAAGCGCCCCUGAAGAAAUGCUACCUAUUUUCAUUUCCCACCCUUAUGAUUCCAAUGUGUAGGAUUUUACAAUCUUCUUCCCCACACACAUUUCUAGCAGUUGUCUAAGCAUUCUACUCUGUUGCUACUAUGACCCAGAGGAAGAAAUAGAAUGCUUUUUCCAUGGGAAAGAUGAAGAAAAUUCAUAGCUCAUCUAUUCCCCUCCUCCUUGGCUUUCACCCAGCCUUAUUCUUUCCAGGUGCCAUUCCACUGCACAGGAAGGCCUUGAACAUGCUCCCUUGUCAUCCUAGCAGGGAAGGUCACACUCUCCAUCUGUGGCCUCUGUCAAUGACAUCUGACUUGAAUUAAAAGUGUUGUGGGAGGAAGGGCAAGGGGACAUCAUAAAUCUUCAUAGGACUGUUUGAGUUGGAAGAGACACUUAAAGGCCAUCUGGUCCCACUGCUCUGCAAUGAACAGGGACACCCACAGCUCUAUCAAGUGCUCAGAGCCCCAUCCUGCCUGACCUGAAUGUUUCCAUGGGGCAUCCACCACCUCUCUGGACAACCUGUGCCUGUUCUUCACUGCCCUUAUUAUAAAAAAAAAACCUUUUCCAUAUAUACAGCCUAAAUCUUUCCUGAUACAAAUCUCAAGGGCAAAAAAAAAAAAACAAAACAAAACAAAGAAACAGAGAAGUCCCAGUUCUAGGCUCGAAAUAAUGUCUGUCUGGUGUGAGUAACUCCAACAGUGAUGGAGAUAUAUGUAUAAUUUCCUUCCUUGCAUAAGGGACUUAAUCUCAUCUCCUUGCGUGCAGGUCAAGGGACGACUAUGACACUUCCCAUUCUUAUGGCAGGGGAUGCUGGACACUGUUCCUUCCUACUGCAGAUGUGCAGAAAGCUGGUUGCCUUCUUCAUGUGACAUAAUGGGGUGAAAAUAGACAGAGUUGAUAAGAUGUGGGCUUAUGGAAUCAUAGAAUCAUUAAGGCUGGAAAAGACCACUAAGGUCAUCUAGUCCAGCCACCCUCCCAUCACCACCAUGCCCGCUAUCCAUCCAAUGAUUUGCAAUCACACCAGAAAAAUGGCAAAAAUCCCAGCAUUUUUAUGAAGCCUAUUGCCAGAGACUGGAGAAUUACAUCAAUAAAUGUAACUGUAUGCUUGGUCUACUAUAACCUUCCCAAGGUCUGUUCUGGUGGCAGCUGCAUGUCAUCACAGGGCAUUGUGACUCUGCAGCUGGGCUGGAUGAACCCUUGGCCCGCACUGGCAUUGCUGUUCUUCCAUGAAUUCACCCUGUCAGCUUUCCCCCUUCUUGUCCAUUCCCAGUUUGUCCUGAAGAAGGAAAGCACUCAGGAGGGCAGUGCACAAAAGAAUUAACUGCCCAACGAGGCUAUAUACAACCCUUAGGCCACAAGCAAACUGCCUUAGUGCAUUCAAGAGAUAUAUGCAUCAAAUGCAGCUUGACGGUCCGGGUCAUAUGUUACAGAUAGACCACACUUCCACCCCUCAAACAGAGCCAUGCUUUCCCUUUGCUUAGUCCCCUUUUUGGAGCAGCUCUAAUUUAUGAACAAGAUGAUAAAGAAACGAAGAAGAAUCCCGUCAAGGUUCUCUCUGUGAGUUGUAAAUUGUCCAUAUAUCAAAGAUAUUGCCUACAUCCAGCAUUUAAUGCUAUCAGUAAAAAUAUAAUGCGAAGGGGAAAAGAAGAAGUUGCUCACAAGGAGGAAUGAAUAACCUGUGUGAAAUAUUGAGCCUGUAAAACCAGCAUUUCUCCUUUUGGCUGGAAUGUUGGUAUUUCUUGCUAUUUAAUUUACAUAAAUCAAUGAUGAAAAAAAAGAUGUAAUAACAGAAUUCAGAUUCUCUAGCUGCAGGGAAGCUGGGAAAUGAGAGGAUGGAGCUUGGAGAUUAUCGACAUGCUCCAAAGAGAGCAGCACCAGAGAGAAUGGUUUUUCUGAGCUUCCCUUGCUCAAACAAGGUAGGCCCUAUGCCUACACCCCAAUGGUGAGGUAGCACUAGAAAAAAAGGACUAACAAAAUUGACACUUUUAAUGUUACGCUUGAUUCGAUUGCCUGGGCAAUUCUGAAAUGGUAGCUCUGACCAGAUCUGAUUGGUGAUAAAGUUGGAAAAAAAAAAACCUUCGUAAUAUUCAGGUGUCUGUUGAAAAAUCUGUUCAAAAGCACCCAGAUGGGACCGAUGCUAUCCUACAAUGGCCUCAGGGCAAGAGAAGGGAGUGCUGAAAGGCAGUAAGUAGAACAGGGACCUGGUCUGAAUGUCAAACUCCCUGACCCCAAGCCAACCCUUGUGCCCACUGAGCCUUCCCGAUCCAUGGAUGGAUCCCUGCAGGAUCCAUUCUUGGCUUUCCUUGUCUUUACAUGGUCAUCAGGGAAGGGAGCAGGGAGGACGUGAGUGGACCCUGUUGGUGGAACCUGGCAUGCAGCACUGUGGGUCACACCAGGAAAGGAGAGUGGUUUUGUAAAUGUUCAGAUCCCACAACUAACAAAGCCUGGCUUCAGUGACCACACAAGGGCACACAUCCAGAAAAAAAAAAAGGCUGGAACAGGCAUCUUCUGAGUAACACAAUAUAUAUAUUUAUAUAUAUAUCUUAUUUAUUUUCUUCUGCCUUCCUUUGUUUUCUCUUCCUCUGCCCUGAAGAAGCUGUUGAUUAUAAUUUCAGUGCAGUUUGAGAUGCAAGCUUAAUGGAGCGGGCCUUUCUAUUUUUGUACCCCGUGCAUUGUCAUAUGAAAUAGCGUGGAUUAUAUUUUGUUGUUGUUGAUGCAUUGAAUAUACUUGAUAUUUAAAUCCAGCAGCGUUUAUAGCAGGCAGAGAUUCUGUGCUGGGAUCGGAGCAGCUCAGUGUGUGCUUGGUAUUAUUAUUCGUUUGGUAGGAGAUUGAGCUUCUGGCUCCUGGCUUUGUUCAUUUUGUUUUACUUCAGUUUAACCAAGUAAAGUUAAAGAAUAAUUCAGAAUGAUGUUUCUAGUCUUGGAUUUCUCCUUGAUUUCAAUUCUCCUAAUAUCUCCAUCUCUAUUAUGUGCUGCUUCUCCACUCUUUUAGAUUAGUUCACGUGCCAGAUAACCACACAAUUUCUACAUUUAGAACCCAUCCUCAUUUAAGAAGCCCUGAAAAGGGCUAAGAACAGAUAUAAUAAUGGAUUAAGAACAGACAUAAUAGACCCUAACAGCACUGACUGGAAAGCUCCAAUUUAAAGGGAUGUGGUGAAAACUAUCAGCGGGCAAUGAUUUCAUGC
ensembl:lncRNA